GGGAGGGGGGGCAAGCGUUGUUCGGAAUUACUGGGCGUAAAGGGCGCGGUAGGCGGUAUGCCGUGUCAGGGGGUGAAAGGGCCUGGGCUCAACCCAGGAACUGCCUUUGAAACUGGCAAACUAGAGUCCGAUAGAGGAUGGCGGAAUUCCCAGUGUAGAGGUGAAAUUCGUAGAUAUUGGGAAGAACACCAGUGGCGAAGGCGGCCAUCUGGAUCGGCACUGACGCUGAGGCGCGAAAGCGUGGGGAGCAAACAGGAUUAGAUACCCUGGUAGUCCACGCCGUAAACGAUGUGUGCUAGACGUUGGGGGUCUUAGACCCUGGGUGUCGUAGCUAACGCGUUAAGCACACCGCCUGGGGAGUACGGCCGCAAGGUUA
rnacentral:rRNA from 1 species